CUACGUGCGGCAGCAGUGGGGAAUAUUGGACGAUGGGCGAAAGCCUGAUCCAGCCAUGCCGCGUGUGUGAAGAAGGCCUUCGGGUUGUAAAGCACUUUCAGUGGGGAAGAAAGCCUUGGGGCUAAUACCCUCGAGGAAGGACAUCACCCACAGAAGAAGCACCGGCUAACUCCGUGCCAGCAGCCGCGGUAAUACGGAGGGUGCGAGCGUUAAUCGGAAUUACUGGGCGUAAAGCGCGCGUAGGCGGUCUGAUAAGCCGGUUGUGAAAGCCCCGGGCUCAACCUGGGAACGGCAUCCGGAACUGUCAGGCUAGAGUGCAGGAGAGGAAGGUAGAAUUCCCGGUGUAGCGGUGAAAUGCGUAGAGAUCGGGAGGAAUACCAGUGGCGAAGGCGGCCUUCUGGACUGACACUGACGCUGAGGUGCGAAAGCGUGGGUAGCAAACAGGAUUAGAUACCCUAGUAGUC
rnacentral:rRNA from 1 species